rnacentral:sRNA from 1 species
AUGGCUGUCGUCAGCUCGUGUCGUGAGAUGUUGGGUUAAGUCCCGCAACGAGCGCAACCCCCGUCGCAUGUUGCCAGCAUUCAGUUGGGGACUCAUGCGAGACUGCCGGUGACAAACCGGAGGAAGGUGGGGAUGACGUCAAGUCCUCAUGCCCCUUAUGUCCAGGGCUACACACGUGCUACAUUGGCGCAUACAGAGGGCUGCGAUACCGCGAGGUGGAGCGAAUCCCUUAAAGUGCGUCUCGGUUCGGAUUGCAGGCUGAAAUUCGCCUGCAUGAAGGCGGAGUUGCUAGUAAUCGCGGAUCAGCAUUGCCGCGGUGAAUACGUUCCCGGGCCUUGUACACACCGCCCGUCACACCACGGGAGUGAGCAACACCCGAAGCCGGUGGCCUAACCCGCAAGGGAGGGAGCCGUCGAAGGUGGGGCUCGUGACUGGGGUGAAGUCGUAACAAGGUAGCCGUAGCGGAAGCUGCGGCUGGAUCACCUCCUUUCUAGGGAGCACCUAGCGGUGCCCCGGUCCUGGACCCGUCGCGAGACGGGUCCGUGCGGUCGCCAGGCCCACCUGUGCCCAGCAAUGGGUACGAGGCCAGGCGAUGUCGGCGGGAUCGGGCCUAGCAUGUCGACCGAACCUGGCUGGAUGGCCGCGCCGCAGACGUCUUCCCCUCUGCUGGGGGAGGACGGCGGGCAAGGCCGCAAACGAUGCCAGCAUGCUGUUGAGUUUUGAGAGACCGGCCCGCCGUUGGCGGACACCUCUUCGCGGACCUUGAAAACUGCACAGUAGCCAAUGUAACGGGUAUCACCGGGUAUGAACCCGCAAGGUUCAUUACCCAGAUCACCGUCAAGAUAGUAAGGGCACAUGGUGGAUGCCUUGGCACCAAGAGUCGAUGAAGGGCGUGAACGGCUGCGAUAAGCCUCGGGUAGGUGCACACAACCGUCAAUCCGAGGAUGUCCGAAUGGGGAAACCCGG